rnacentral:rRNA from 1 species
CUGCGGCGGAUUAGGUAGUUGGUGGGGUAACGGCCUACCAAGCCGAUGAUCCGUAGGGGGCGUGAGAGCGUGGCCCCCCACACUGGCACUGAGACACGGGCCAGACUCCUACGGGAGGCAGCAGUGAGGAAUAUUGCACAAUGGGCGCAAGCCUGAUGCAGCAACGCCGCGUGAGGGACGAAGGCCUUCGGGUCGUAAACCUCUUUUCUGGGGGACGAGUAAGGACGGUACCCCAGGAAUAAGUCUCGGCUAACUACGUGCCAGCAGCCGCGGUAAAACGUAGGAGGCGAGCGUUAUCCGGAUUUACUGGGCGUAAAGCGUACGCAGGUGGCUUCGUUAGUCGGACAUGAAAGCUCCUGGCUUAACUGGGAGAGGUUGUUCGAUACUGCGGGGCUUGAGGUUGGGAGAGGGACGUGGAAUUCCCGGUGUAGUGGUGGAAUGCGUAGAUAUCGGGAGGAACACCAGUGGCGCAAGCGGCGUCCUGGCCCACACCUGACGCUGAGGUACGAAAGCGUGGGUAGCAAACAGGAUUAGAUACCCUGGUAGUCCACGCUGUAAACGAUGUCAACUGGGUGUCGGUAGUUUUACACUAUCGGUGCCGAAGCCAACGCG